rnacentral:rRNA from 1 species
UACGUAGGGUGCGAGCGUUUAAUCGGAAUUACUGGGCGUAAAGCGUGCGCAGGCGGUGAUGUAAGACAGGUGUGAAAUCCCCGGGCUUAACCUGGGAACUGCAUUUGUGACUGCAUCGCUGGAGUGCGGCAGAGGGGGAUGGAAUUCCGCGUGUAGCAGUGAAAUGCGUAGAUAUCAGGAGGAACACCGGUGGUGUAGACGGCUCUCUGGACCGUAACUGACGCUGAGGCACGAAAGCGUGGGUAGCAAACAGG